UUUUAGAUUUUAAUUAUAAGUCUAGCCUGCCCAAUGAGUUUAUAUUUAAUGGCCGCAGUAUUUUGACUGUGCAAAGGUAGCAUAAUCAUUAGUUUCUUAAUUAGAAGCUGGAAUGAAUGGUUGGACGAGAAAAUAACUGUCUUUUUAUAAUUUUAUUUGAAUUUUAUUUUUAAGUUAAAAAGCUUAAAUAAUUUUAAAAGACGAGAAGACCCUAUAGAGUUUUAUUAAUUUAGGUUUAAUAGUUUUUUUUGUAUAGUUUUAAAUUAUUAUAGUUUUAUUAAUUUAAUUGGGGUGAUUAAAAAAUUUUAUAAACUUUUUUUAUAUAUUUACAUUUAUUUAUGAAUAUUUGAUCCAUAAUUUUUUAUUAUGAUAUAAGAUUAAAUUACCUUAGGGAUAACAGCAUAAUUUUUUUGUAGAGUUCAAAUCGAUAAAGAAGUUUGUGACCUCGAUGUUGGAUUAAAAUUUAUUUUUGGUUGUAGAAGCUAAAAAAUUAGGUCUGUUCGACCUUUAAAAUUUUACAUGAUCUGAGUUUAAACCGGUGUAAGCCAGGUUGGUUUCUAUCUUUAUAUAAUUUAUAUAUUUUAGUACGAAAGGACCAAAUAUAGUAAAAAUUUUAUUAAUUAUUGAAUUUUAUUAAUAAU
rnacentral:rRNA from 1 species